rnacentral:rRNA from 1 species
UAAGGAAUAUUAUGCAAUGGACGAAAGUCUGACAUAGCCAUGCCGCGUGCAGGAUGAAGGCGCUCUGCGUUGUAAACUGCUUUUAUUUGGGAAGAAAUGACCGUUUCUACGGUUUUUGACGGUACCAAAAGAAUAAGCACCGGCUAACUCCGUGCCAGCAGCCGCGGUAAUACGGAGGGUGCAAGCGUUAUCCGGAUUCACUGGGUUUAAAGGGUGCGUAGGCGGGCAGGUAAGUCAGUGGUGAAAUCUCCGAGCUUAACUUGGAAACUGCCAUUGAUACUAUCUGUCUUGAAUAUCGUGGAGGUAAAUGGAAUAUGUCAUGUAGCGGUGAAAUGCUUAGAUAUGACAUAGAACACCAAUUGCGAAGGCAGUUUGCUACGCGAUUAUUGACGCUGAGGCA